UUGUUAAAUAUUAGCCCUUGGAUCAAGUUGAGAUAAAAUCCUGACCGUAUUAAUUCAAUGAAAGCUUCUAGAAGGGGAGGUUGGGGACGGUUCAUCAUUCCUUCCGAUUUCACCCCCACGUCGUCUCUCCCAGCAGUUAUGGUGUCUCCCCUUAUUUACCUCCCAAACUCCUGCACCCUCAUUUACGGUUCGUCUGUCUUUCUUCUCUCAAGCACAGCGUUUUUCUCUCAUGCGGCUAAGGAUUUGAAGAUUCAAUCUAAGAGGUAAUACCAGUAAUUAAUGUGAAAUCGGGAUUCUAGGGUUCAGAUUUUGUCAGAUUCUCGCCGCCGUCGCUAAGGCCUUACUGUUCUCCGCCCUAGCCCAACCUACCUGCCGGAAACCGAAACGGAAGAGGAAGAAAAUGAUGGAGUAAUUUCGGAUUUCGAAGCUUCAGUUUCCAACGAAGUUCAUGAGCUAUAUGAGGCUUUGGUGUCUAGAUGAAUAUUGCUAUUGUGAAUGAGGCUAUACUCACAGAGGAGUCUACCCCCAUUGGAAGGACAUGGUAUCAAAUAUUGCAGAGAACAUGAGCAAUUGGAGUCACUUUCAUGGGUUUUAAUAUUACUAAUAUAACUGUUGUAAUGUGCUCAUGAGAAAAUGUCCAAGGCACUUAUGAGGUUAGUUAUAACACAAUGAGUCUGAGAUUAAAUCUCAGCCAUUUAAAAUACAUGAAGCAGCGGUUACAGGGAAGUUACCAACCCCUCCCCCAUUAUCGCCCUCCCCACUCCGCGAUUUGUAACCAUGUCUCUACUUCUCUUGCUCCCCCGUCUCCGUGAUUAUUCCGAUCAGUUGUCACAUCAUUGGUCCUUACAGUGUACGGGCAUUUAAACUAUCAUCACCAUCACUACCGUCGGCGAAAGGCUUUCCUAAUGAAUUUUGUCGGAUUUAUUGGUGGGAUCAGAACGUGCUUUUAGAUCAGGUAAAGCAAUUGGAUUUCUUGGUGGAAAUAAAACGGGUGAUAGGAUGGCCACCGCGGUGGAUUGGUGUUCGUAGUUCCACGCUCCGCAGGUCUGCCUUCCCUCAUCCAUGUUUCGAUGAUGCUCUUCUUCUGCUAUGGCUAUUCUGCUCUACUCCAAACAUAUUUGAAAAAUGCUUUUGUGGUGAGUUUUGUCAUGAAUCUUUCACGGUUUUUGUGUAUCAAUAAGAUUGGGUUUAAGACAUCAAUAAUUAGACACAAGUUAUUGCAAUUGUUAUGUAUUUUGAAUUUUAUCAAGCAUCAUUCACUUAUAUGGCUUCUUUACCUUAAUAUAAAUCAAAUGUAUGCAGGCAUUAACACAAGAUCAACUAAUUACAUUAGACAUUGAACAUUUUGUAUACAUGUACAUCUUCUUUACCUUAGAUAUUGAACAUUUUCUUAAAGUAAGUUUUUUUUAAUACAUCAGGUUAAGAAGCUGUAUACAUGUAUGUAUUGAAAGUGUUUUAGUGGACAUCAACCGUUUUACGACUUGACCAAUUCUCUUUUUAGCUAACCUUUUCUAUUUGACCCUUUGAAGUAAGACAUAAUUUGGAUCAACCCACUUGUAUGUAAAUGGGUGAAUUUGCCACUGCUGAUAAUAAUUUUACGACACGUCUUGUAGGGUCUUGUGUAUUUCCACCAUGCGAGACAUGUUAUUAUACUUUAUCAUGGACCACUGUGUUGGUGUAACCGAAUUCCUGAAAGCCACAUGACCAUCGGAUCAUGCAGAAAGGAUGUUCGGCAUUUGCACAUAACUCAGAAAAGUAAAGGACCUUUGUUAGAUCAUAGCACAUAUGAAUGAGUUAUUUGGGUUAUUGUUCAUCUCAAACAGGUCAAAUAAAUAAAGGGUUGUAAGUCCCAACCUCCUAUAUUGUUUUGUAGAGAUAUUGUGGCAUUAACAACAUUGUUUUAAAAUUUUCUUCUUGCAGAAUAUAGUGUGAGUGCGCCCGUGUUCAAAAAAGCAAUCUCAAAUACUGCUUAGGUGCUGGAGCUUCAAAGCAAAAAAAAGGUGCAGUCAUGCAUGUGGUGAAAGGUUGAAAGGCAGGAGGCAAAGGUUAAGAAAAUCCAAUAUGUAAGCAUGGGCCAAGUUAUGUCAGGUUUGCUACACCUGGCCUAUAUAUUUUGAGUUUUUUAAUCAAUAAUUAACACUUUAAAUAUCAUUAUAGAAAGUUAGAAACCAUACAUUGUAAUAGUAAUCAGAUUUGUUUUAAAAAAUGAUUUAGAUGUUGUGUAUAUGCAUUAGAAGUACACUUUAUAAAACUUUUACCCCAUUAAUCCCUUUGGUUGCUAAAAUUUGUGACUUUACGCAUUUGACGAAUUUGGGAUAAAAUACAACGCAAAUCUAUCCAUUUAUGUGAUUUUUUUUUGCAGGCACAACCUUUUCCUUCAUUCGGCUCUUUUUUGCUUUCUAGGAAAAUAGCUACAUUACUUAGUGGCAUCAAAGUAUCUUUUCAUAUAUUUUAGAAGCAUUCUGUAGUCUUUUGAAUAUGUACAGUUUGAUUAUAGAUAAGGAACAUUAUGAAGGAAAACACCUAUCUUCAUGUAGUAGCAUCAAACUAUGUUUACUAAAACUAUAUAUUACAAUGUAGGAGGCUUUCACAUA